UCCCAGCAGUCCAAGUCGCAGCCACAUUUGUUGGGUCUAAAACAUCCGUAGCUUGUUUUCUAAGUCUCUUGUGAAAUCGGGACUCUUAAGGUUCCGGCGGGCAAGAGAUACUGGAGAACUACGAGACCGGGAGGCGUAAGAAGUACGAUUAGGGUAGCGGUAAAAUGCGUUGAUCCUAAUUGGACUAACAGUCGCGAAGGCGUCUUACGAGAACGGUUCUGACAGUGAGGGAUGAAGGCUAGGGGCGCAAAGU
rnacentral:rRNA from 1 species